GCCUGGGUGGCUCAGUGGUUGAGCAUCUGCCUUUGGCUCAGGUUGUGAUCCGGGGUUCUGGGAUCAAGUCCCAUAUCGGGCU
rnacentral:tRNA from 1 species